rnacentral:misc_RNA from 1 species
UGUGGGUCCUACGUUUAUGA